rnacentral:tRNA from 1 species
GCCCGGGUGGCGAAAUUGGUAGACGCAAGGGACUUGAAAUCCCUCGGUGGCAACACCAUGCCGGUUCGAUUCCGGCCCCGGGCACCA